AGUGGAAUAGCUGGGUCAGAUGGUGGAUCCAUUCCAAGUUUUCUGAGGAAUCUCCAUACUGAUUUCCAUAUUGGGCUGCACCAAUUUGCAGUCCCACCGGCAAU
rnacentral:pre_miRNA from 1 species